rnacentral:rRNA from 1 species
UAGGGGGCAAGCGUUAUCCGGAUUUACUGGGUGUAAAGGGAGCGUAGACGGCAGCGCAAGUCUGAAGUGAAAGCCCGUGGCUCAACCGCGGAACUGCUUUGGAAACUGCGCGGCUGGAGUGCUGGAGAGGUAAGCGGAAUUCCUGGUGUAGCGGUGAAAUGCGUAGAGAUCAGGAGGAACACCGGUGGCGAAGGCGGCUUACUGGACAGUCACUGACGUUGAGGCUCGAAAGCGUGGGGAGCAAA